rnacentral:lncRNA from 1 species
CACUUCUACCACGUCCAUUCCAUUUACCAUGACUGUGGCCAUGAUACUUAUCUCUUUGGACGUGGUUAGACUCUUUAGUCUCUUUAGGCUCUUCAGCCCAACGGGCUUCUGAUAAUAGGGUAGGACCAGGAGGUCUCAUUUCACUAUUUAUAACUCAUUGUUUUGCUCAGCAAGUAGCAUAUCAGAAUCAAUGUUCUCA